rnacentral:rRNA from 1 species
UGGGGACACUGUUGGGACCGCCUCUAGGCUAAAGAGGAGGAAGGAAUGGGCACGGUAGGUCAGCAUGCCCCGAAUUAUCUGGGCUACACGCGGGCUACAAUGGGUGGGACAAUGGGUAUCGACACCGAAAGGUGAAGGCAAUCUCCUAAACCCAUCCGUAGUUCGGAUUGUGGGCUGCAACUCGCCCACAUGAAGCUGGAAUCUGUAGUAAUCGUGUCUCAAAAUGGCACGGUGAAUAUGUCCCUGCUCCUU